rnacentral:lncRNA from 1 species
AGGACACUUAAAAAGACUCCAUCGCAAGCAUGGACACACUUUUUGAUGUAAAAUAUUUAGCAAUGAAGUGUGAAGAUAAAAGCAUGUGCCUAUAAUAGAAUUCAAGUAUAUCUGAUUGUAGAAAGCUCUUCACUAUGUUAAAUAAACAGUUUUCUGUUACUCUAAAUGGUUAACCAUAGGAAGUAAUUUUAUCUUGCUAUGAAGCCUAAGAAACA